rnacentral:rRNA from 1 species
AAUCAACGCUGGCGGCGUGCCUAACACAUGCAAGUCGAGCGGGAAAGGGGACUUCGGUCCCUGAGUAUAGCGGCGGACGGGUGAGUAACACGUGGGUAAUUUGCCCUUGGGUGUGGAAUAACUCAGGGAAACUUGAGCUAAUACCGCAUGAUAUCCUCUUCGCACACGAGUCGAGGAUCAAAGCCGGGGACCCUUCGGGGCCUGGCGCCUGAGGAGAAGCCCGCGCCCGAUUAGCUAGNGGUGAGGUAAUGGCUCACCAAGGCUUCGAUCGGUAGCCGGCCUGAGAGGGCGGACGGCCACACUGGGACUGAGACACGGCCCAGACUCCUACGGGAGGCAGCAGUGGGGAAUUUUUGUCAAUGGGGGAAACCCUGGACAAGCAACGCCGCGUGGAGGACGAAGACCUCGGUUGUAACUA